rnacentral:rRNA from 1 species
CCUACGGGCGGCAGCAGUGGGGAAUAUUGCACAAUGGGCGCAAGCCUGAUGCAGCCAUGCCGCGUGUGUGAAGAAGGCCUUCGGGUUGUAAAGCACUUUCAGCGGGGAGGAAGGCGUUAAGGUUAAUAACCUUGGCGAUUGACGUUACCCGCAGAAGAAGCACCGGCUAACUCCGUGCCAGCAGCCGCGGUAAUACGGAGGGUGCAAGCGUUAAUCGGAAUUACUGGGCGUAAAGCGCACGCAGGCGGUCUGUCAAGUCGGAGGUGAAAUCCCCGGGCUCAACCUGGGAACUGCAUUCGAAACUGGCAGGCUAGAGUCUUGUAGAGGGGGGUAGAAUUCCAGGUGUAGCGGUGAAAUGCGUAGAGAUCUGGAGGAAUACCGGUGGCGAAGGCGGCCCCCUGGACAAAGACUGACGCUCAGGUGCGAAAGCGUGGGGAGCAAACAGGAUUAGAUACCCCGGUAGUC